UCGAGCGCUUCUAGCUUGCUAGAGGAGCGGCGAACGGGUGAGUAACGCGUAGGAAUCUGCCUGAUAGUGGGGGACAACGUCUCGAAAGGGACGCUAAUACCGCAUACGCCCUACGGGGGAAAGGGGGGGAUCUUCGGACCUCUCGCUAUCAGAUGAGCCUGCGUCGGAUUAGCUAGUUGGUGAGGUAAAGGCUCACCAAGGCGACGAUCCGUAGCUGGUCUGAGAGGAUGAUCAGCCACACCGGAACUGAGACACGGUCCGGACUCCUACGGGAGGCAGCAGUGGGGAAUAUUGGACAAUGGGGGCAACCCUGAUCCAGCCAUGCCGCGUGUGUGAAGAAGGCCUUCGGGUUGUAAAGCACUUUAAGGGGGGAGGAAGGUUCGCUGGUGAAUAUCCAGCGGAAUUGACGUUACCCCCAGAAUAAGCACCGGCUAACUUCGUGCCAGCAGCCGCGGUAAUACGAGGGGUGCAAGCGUUAAUCGGAAUUACUGGGCGUAAAGCGCGCGUAGGCGGCUGAAUAAGUCGAUUGUGAAAGCCCCGGGCUCAACCUGGGAAUUGCAGUCGAGACUGUUCGGCUAGAGUGUGGGAGAGGGUGGUGGAAUUCCCGGUGUAGCGGUGAAAUGCGUAGAUAUC
rnacentral:rRNA from 1 species